rnacentral:rRNA from 1 species
GGUAGUCCGUACGAGCGCACCCCUUUACUUAGUUGCCAGCACAUUAUGGUGGGGACUCUAAGUACACUGCCUGCGCAAGCAGGAGGAAGGAGGGGAUGAGGUCAAGUCAUCAUGGCCCUUACGCCCAGGGCUACACACGUGCUACAAUGGCGUGUACAGAAGGAAGCUACUUGGUAACAAGCGGCCAAUCCCUAAAGCACGUCCCAGUUCGGAUUGAGGUCUGCAAUUCGACCUCAUGAAGUCGGAAUCGCUAGUAAUCGCGCAUCAGCAAUGGCGCGGUGAAUACGUUCCCGGACCUU